rnacentral:rRNA from 1 species
CCUACGGGAGGCAGCGGUGAGGGAUAUUGGUCAAUGGGGGAAACCCUGAACCAGCAACGCCGCGUGAGGGAAGACGGUUUUCGGAUUGUAAACCUCUGUCCUCUGUGAAGAUGAUGACGGUAGCAGAGGAGGAAGCUCCGGCUAACUACGUGCCAGCAGCCGCGGUAAUACGUAGGGAGCAAGCGUUGUCCGGAUUUACUGGGUGUAAAGGGUGCGUAGGCGGCUUUGCCAGUCCGAAGUGAAAUCCAUGGGCUUAACCACUGAACUGCUUUUGCAACUGCAGAGCUUGAGUGGAGUAGAGGUAG